CCCCAUUCCCUCCUUCACAUUCCCUCCAGCGAAAUAACUCCAAACACUCUUUUGGCGUGCUUUGGAUGAUUUAUAUAAACUUGGGGCCAAUGGUGGUGUUGGUUGUGAUUCCCUAACACUUGCUCCCCGUCUCAUCUGUGCACCACCACUUGUCCCGGAACCUUGUGCUCUAUUAGGAAGUUUAUGGAGGUGUUCUCUUUCCCAUGCUGACUGUUUGGAGGCACGUAAUGCUUGUUUAAAAUUGCGUCGCUCUUCAGGUCCCAUGUCAUCAUCACAUUCAUCCUCAUCGUCAUCAUCAUCACUGUCAACCGCUUGGCCAAUGACUUCUCCUCGUAGUCCAGCUCGAAUAUUUUCCAUUCCAUGUGUUUUCUUUUCCUUCUGGUGUUGUUUAUUUUUUAACAAUGUGGUGAUGAAUGCCUUCACUUCUGGGGGAACACUAUCGCAUCGUUGGACAUUAUUUCCUGGAUCUAAUCCACUAAGAUGAUACUUAAGUCGUGUCACUCCACCACUCUUUAUUACCCGACCACAAUAUUUGCAAAUUGAGCCAUUUUUGUUUCCGUCUAUUGGGUCUCCAUGUUCCCAAGCUGGAUCACGUUUAACAAC
rnacentral:lncRNA from 1 species